UGGCGGCUCGUGGAGCCUCUCAAUAGUUCCCGGAAGUGGCGGCAAACCGAUGCCGCGCCGUAGAAGAUGCAGCAGAACAAACCGUUUGCGACGCACUUUUAACAGGUAAGACGUUUAAAUAAUAAGAUUGAAUAUUAUCAGUACAUCUUAAUAACAAUAAAUUGCAAAUUAAAACCUUCUAGUAGAUAAUCACUCAUUAAAUGAGUAGAUUUAAGGUUUGUUAUCAGAUAACUAACAGAUUAGGCUAGGAUUGGAGCUGCAUAAAGUUAGUAACGAACACCCUAAUAAUUGUAAAAUCUGUUCUCAUAAUUCAGUUUCAUCCAUCGUGUUUGCAAUUAGAAAAAAAGGAGUAUAAACAUAUUUUUUUGCAGGGUGGGGAAAGUUAGCUAACGUUACAUAGCCUAUUACGUUAGUUCAAUAUAACGUGUGACAGCGGUGAGUGGAAGUGGUAAAAAUGAGGUUAUAAAGUUUGUUCCUUAUUACACGUAUUAAAUUACUUAAUAAUAAAAUGCACCCUAUUGAUAUACAUUUAGAGUGAAUUGAGUUUGCAAAAACAUGGGUGGAGUGUUUUUAGUCAUUGUGAUUCAUUUACUAUUACCUGUCUAUAUUAUAUAAUAAUACUGUAUUAUAUAUUUAGACUUGUUAGUGUAUAAAAGUAACAUACUGUAACAUUCUGUGGGUUCUGGUGGGUGGAGGAUUAGUGGUGCCACUGCACUGUUCUGGGAUGGAGCAUCAGUGAGGAUGCAGACCCUGGUAACUGGCUGAUGGUUCACAGGAAUGCUGACUGGCUGCUGAUUGACUUGCUGCUGGUUGACUGGGCAGUGUCACCUGUCCCUGUCUCUCCUCUCUAGCCAUGUCCUUUUUCUUCACUCUCACUUUCCUUUCUCUGAGUGUCCUCGUUCUUUUUUCCUCAACCUUUGAAACUGAUAGAGGUAGAAUACAUGGUUUUGCUAAUUUUAAAUAUUGAAAAUAUCACAUCACUUUACUUCAACUAGUACGAGUUUGUACUUAUUAUAUAUGAAUCACCUGAAAUAACAUAGCUGUAAUCAGCAGCCAUUUCUUGUAUGUUCACAGGUCUAGGGGUGCAUCGUGGAGCAGGGCCCUCCUCUUUUUGACCACAGGACGAUGUACAAAGAUUGUGGGAAUAGCAUCUGGUCUCAGCCUACUCUUGAAUUUUUUGGUCAUGACAAAUUGCAUUGCCGCAAUUUGUCUGCAUACCGACUUCAGUUUAGGUUCAACACACACCUUUUUUUUUGUCUACCCACUUACAGUACAUAUCACAUGGUGGUUAAAUGCACAGUUAUAGGUAACACUGAUGACUCCCUGCAAUGUCUCACCAUGAGUCUCAGCUCCCUGGGUUUUGCAAGGCUUUGCUUGUUCCUUAUUUCUAGUAAAACAUUGUCAAUGUAAAAAAGUGCAAAUAAAUGUAAGUAUAAUUACCUAACAAUUUUUUGUUGUUGUAAUUUUUAUUUGUAUUUAGAUUGCUCCUGCUGACUUGAGCCAACCAUUAUUUUCUCCUCUCUAUGUCAGCGGGGAAGCCAUACAUUCGCACACCUUUCUCUGACUGAGUGGAGCAUCCCCAUGCAGCACAGUAAACCACGGUGGAGACUAUGCAAGGACAACAUGAAAGAAAGGACACAUACAAAAUGCUUGUCAUGCUAUUAAAUUUAUUAGAAAUGUAUUCAUGAAUUGCUGUAAAUAGUUAAUUGUAUAAUUACAAUUUAAAAUAACUGUUUUCUAUUUUAAAAUGGAAUAUACUCCUGUGAUGCCAA